CGGUAGAGAGAAGCUUGCUUCUCUUGAGAGCGGCGGACGGGUGAGUAAUGCCUAGGAAUCUGCCUGGUAGUGGGGGAUAACGUUCGGAAACGGACGCUAAUACCGCAUACGUCCUACGGGAGAAAGCAGGGGACCUUCGGGCCUUGCGCUAUCAGAUGAGCCUAGGUCGGAUUAGCUAGUUGGUGAGGUAAUGGCUCACCAAGGCGACGAUCCGUAACUGGUCUGAGAGGAUGAUCAGUCACACUGGAACUGAGACACGGUCCAGACUCCUACGGGAGGCAGCAGUGGGGAAUAUUGGACAAUGGGCGAAAGCCUGAUCCAGCCAUGCCGCGUGUGUGAAGAAGGUCUUCGGAUUGUAAAGCACUUUAAGUUGGGAGGAAGGGUUGUAGAUUAAUACUCUGCAAUUUUGACGUUACCGACAGAAUAAGC
rnacentral:rRNA from 1 species